GCGUGCUUAACACAUGCAAGUCGAACGGAAAGGCCCUGCUUUUGUGGGGUGCUCGAGUGGCGAACGGGUGAGUAACACGUGAGUAACCUGCCCUUGACUUUGGGAUAACUUCAGGAAACUGGGGCUAAUACCGGAUAGGAGCUCCUGCUGCAUGGUGGGGGUUGGAAAGUUUCGGCGGUUGGGGAUGGACUCGCGGCUUAUCAGCUUGUUGGUGGGGUAGUGGCUUACCAAGGCUUUGACGGGUAGCCGGCCUGAGAGGGUGACCGGCCACAUUGGGACUGAGAUACGGCCCAGACUCCUACGGGAGGUAGCAGUGGGGAAUAUUGCACAAUGGGCGGAAGCCUGAUGCAGCAACACCGCGUGCGGGAUGACGGCCUUCGGGUUGUAAACCGCUUUCGCCUGUGACGAAGCGUGAGUGACGGUAAUGGGUAAAGAAGCACCGGCUAACUACGUGCCAGCAGCCGCGGUGAUACGUAGGGUGCGAGCGUUGUCCGGAUUUAUUGGGCGUAAAGGGCUCGUAGGUGGUUGAUCGCGUCGGAAGUGUAAUCUUGGGGCUUAACCCUGAGCGUGCUUUCGAUACGGGUUGACUUGAGGAAGGUAGGGGAGAAUGGAAUUCCUGGUGGAGCGGUGGAAUGCGCAGAUAUCAGGAGGAACACCAGUGGCGAAGGCGGUUCUCUGGGCCUUUCCUGACGCUGAGGAGCGAAAGCGUGGGGAGCGAACAGGCUUAGAUACCCUGGUAGUCCACGCUGUAAACGGUGGGUACUAGGUGUGGGGUCCAUUCCACGGGUUCCGUGCCGUAGCUAACGCUUUAAGUACCCCGCCUGGGGAGUACGGCCGCAAGGCUAAAACUCAAAGGAAUUGACGGGGCCCCGCACAAGCGGCGGAGCAUGCGGAUUAAUUCGAUGCAACGCGUAGAACCUUACCUGGGUUUGACAUGGAUCGGGAGUGCUCAGAGAUGGGUGUGCCUCUUUUGGGGUCGGUUCACAGGUGGUGCAUGGCUGUCGUCAGCUCGUGUCGUGAGAUGUUGGGUUAAGUCCCGCAACGAGCGCAACCCUUGUUCACUGUUGCCAGCACGUUAUGGUGGGGACUCAGUGGAGACCGCCGGGGUCAACUCGGAGGAAGGUGGGGAUGACGUCAAGUCAUCAUGCCCCUUAUGUCCAGGGCUUCACGCAUGCUACAAUGGCUGGUACAGAGAGUGGCGAGCCUGUGAGGGUGAGCGAAUCUCGGAAAGCCGGUCUCAGUUCGGAUUGGGGUCUGCAACUCGACCUCAUGAAGUCGGAGUCGCUAGUAAUCGCAGAUCAGCAACGCUGCGGUGAAUACGUUCCCGGGGCUUGUACACACCGCCCGUCAAGUCAUGAAAGUUGGUAACACCCGAAGCCGGUGGCCUAACCGUUGUGGGGGAGCCGUCGAAGGUGGGACUGGUGAUUAGGACUAAAUC
rnacentral:rRNA from 1 species